rnacentral:rRNA from 1 species
UACGUAGGGUGCAAGCGUUAAUCGGAAUUACUGGGCGUAAAGCGUGCGCAGGCGGUCCGCUAAGACAGAUGUGAAAUCCCCGGGCUUAACCUGGGAACUGCAUUUGUGACUGGCGGGCUAGAGUAUGGCAGAGGGGGGUAGAAUUCCACGUGUAGCAGUGAAAUGCGUAGAGAUGUGGAGGAACACCGAUGGCGAAGGCAGCCCCCUGGGCUGACACUGACGCUCAGGCACGAAAGCGUGGGGAGCAAACAGG